rnacentral:rRNA from 1 species
UACGUAGGGUGCGAGCGUUAAUCGGAAUUACUGGGCGUAAAGCGUGCGCAGGCGGUUCGACAAGUCCGAUGUGAAAGCCCCGGGCUCAACCUGGGAAUGGCAUUGGAAACUGGCGAGCUUGAGUGUGGCAGAGGGGGGUGGAAUUCCGCGUGUAGCAGUGAAAUGCGUAGAGAUGCGGAGGAACACCGAUGGCGGAAGGCAGCCCCCUGGGCUGACACUGACGCUCAGGCACGAAAGCGUGGGGAGCAAACAGG